UAUUGGAUCAUUAUUAUAGCCAGAAUGAAGAAAUUAAUUUGCAGUGGCUAAACCCACCCCGUCCAGCAGCUUUUUAUGUUUUUUCACAUUCGCUCAUCCCACACUCAGCUUCGCCCAGUGUGCCGCUCUUGGGGAGGGGGGAGAGCUAAAAGUUAUGUAGAAGUAAAUGUAUGACAGACGAAGAAAAAAUUUAAAGUUGGAAAAAACCGCUAAGGAACGCAUCUAGAUGCAUGCCAAAGAUGUUUUCUGUAAGGCUUCUUUCGGAAACUAUUCUGGAAGGGAAACCCGGGCGUUUUACGAAGUCUAAAUUACAACAACCACCACUUCUAAAAAGGAAGGAUUCUGGCGUGUUUUACCCCCUGUAAAAUUGAAGCGAAAACGUAACGCAUAUCGUACGCAUGCUUAGUGAAAGAGGGAGCGAUACAGAAGUACUGUUUGGAAGCAACAAGGAACGACUGGGUGGGAAGUCAACGCACCAACACAUACAUUACGUGCAGUGUCCGUGCAAAUCAAGAAAAACCCGGUUUGGAGCGCUAAUAAAUAACAAGGAAAACUUGUGUAUCAUUGGCUGCACUCUUGUGUCCGAUCUAGUAUACCCCACAGUACCAGAAAACAUCGAUGACGACGUAAUUACAAUUGUGCAGUGAAUUUUCGCUGUUUUUUGGUCAAAUGUAUUCAUAUGAAAAUACAUAAUGCAUUAUUUUUUACCUGGUGUUCAGUGUUUCAGUUAAAUAAUUGUAUUAAAUUGUAUCUUAAAUGUAUGCGUUUUACACAAAAUUUCAAUUUGCAAACGGUCCAUCAACAAAAACCGAAAAACCAAUCCUAAAGUCGAACAGGUACACAUUUUGACGGGAGUUUUGUCUUUUUUUUUUGGAUGACCAUAUCAACAAAAUACAGAACAUUUUUGAGACGGUCUCAUCCUGGAAGGAUUUUGAAAAGGUGAUUCAGAAAAAGAGCACGAAAAAAUAACAAUUUGGGAAAUACGAACAGCAGCUUAACUAAAAGGUUCUGUGAAAAAAACACAGAACAAAACGAAAUGUAAAUUUUAUAAUUAAAAGGAAAUAAAAAAGUUUUAUACUCAAUUUGCACAAGUUUUUUUUUUUCAGAAAAAUCUUUACCU